rnacentral:rRNA from 1 species
CCCCCUCUCCCCCGGUUCCACUUUGAGACCUUUUGGUGGCGGUAACCGGGCUUCAUUGCGGAGGUAAAGGAACACUAGGUGGCGGCUAGGGGAGAACCACACCGGGUGAUGUCGGCGGUGGAUGAUUGGCACUUCUUGGCCAAGCGGUCCAGACAAUUCAUGAAGGGCUAGGGUGCCAAUGUAGGGCGUGACUUGAAGCUCCGGAUGGGUGCCCUACUACUAGAGAUCCAGGGUCUAGAUCUAAGAGCAGAUAUGGCCGGCCUCACACCGGGCGAAUGGGCUUUACAUUAUAGUUUGGAGGAUGAGUUGCUAGAGCUCUAUCGGAAGGAGGAGUAUUGGUGCCAGUAGGGUUCCUUUAAUUGGGUUAUCUUUGGCGAUGCCAACAUGGCAUAUUUCCAAGCCAUCGCCAAUGGUUUCCAACAUAGGUGCACCAUCCCGCUCCUUUGGGAAGGCGAACGAUUUCUACAAGACGUGGGUGAGAUACGAGAUUAUGUGGACGGAUUUUAUAGGGCCCUCUUUACCGAGCGACAGCGAUCAGGCCUAGCACUCGUAGACUGUAAUCAUUCGAAGCAUAAAGAGAUUUCUCUCAAGAAUAAUGCUCUGCUAGCGGCCUUUGAGGAGGACGAAAUGGCCACGAUUAUUAAGGGUAUGAACCCAUCAUCGGCACCAGGGCCUGAUGGGCUCCCGGUUUGAUUUUUCCAGGUCUUCUGGCCCACCAUUAAGGGGGAUAUUAUGGCGCUCUUUCACGAGUUCGCCCAAGGCGGUUUGGACCUCUCUUGGCUAAACUACGGGAUUAUCACACUUAUCCCGAAGGUCCUUGGAGCGUCGAAUAUUCGGCAGUUCAGGCUUAUCACGGUUAUCGACGUGAUCUUUCGGAUUCCUGCCAAAGAUUAAGCCAGUAGGACUGCCCUGAUAACGCCCCAGAUUACCCAUCCAAACCAAAUGGCUUUCAUUAAGGGAAGGCUCAUCCUUGAUGGGAUUCUGGUUCUCCAUGAGGUUAUCCAAGAAAUCAAGUCAAAACACCAAAGGGCGGUAUUCUUCAAGAUCGACUUUCACAAAGCAUAUGACACGGUACAUUGGUCCUUCCUUCGGGAAGUGUUAAUAAAGAAGGGAUUCGACCUGUAA